CAGCCGCCGCGGUAAUACCGGCGGCCCGAGUGGCGGUCACUAUUAUUGGGCUUAAAGCGUCCGUAGCCGGGUUGGGAAGUCCUCCGGGAAAUCUGGCCGCUUAACGGUCAGAAUGCCGGAGGAUACUCCCAGCCUAGGGAGCGGGAGAGGCCGAGGGUAUUCCCGGAGUAGGGGUGAAAUCCUAUAAUCCCGGGAGGACCCCCUGUGGCGAAGGCGCUCGGCUGGAACGCGUCCGACGGUGAGGGACGAAGGCCAGGGGAGCAAACCGGAUUAGAUACCCGGGUAGUCCUGGCGGUAAACGAUGCGGACUUUGUGUCGGACAAGCUAUGAGCUUGUCCGGUGCCGGAGGGAAACCGUUAAGUCCGCCGCCUGGGGAGUACGGCCGCAAGGCUGAAACUUAAAGGAAUUGGCGGG
rnacentral:rRNA from 1 species